CUGCUGCCUCCCGUAGGAGUCUGGGCCGUGUCUCAGUCCCAAUGUGGCCGCCCACCCUCUCAGGCCGGCUACUGAUCGUCGCCUUGGUGGGCCGUUGCCCCGCCAACAAGCUAAUCAGACGCGGGCCCAUCCUGCACCGCCGGAGCUUCCCCCGCCGCCCCAUGCGGGGCUGCGGGCAUAUGCGGUAUUAGCAGCCGUUUCCGGCUGUUGUCCCCCAGUGCAGGGCAGGUUGCCCACGCGUUACUCACCCGUCCG
rnacentral:rRNA from 1 species